UACGAAGGGGGCUAGCGUUGCUCGGAAUCACUGGGCGUAAAGGGUGCGUAGGCGGGUCUUUAAGUCAGAGGUGAAAUCCUGGAGCUCAACUCCAGAACUGCCUUUGAUACUGAGGAUCUUGAGUACGGGAGAGGUGAGUGGAACUGCGAGUGUAGAGGUGAAAUUCGUAGAUAUUCGGAGGAACACCAGUGGCGAAGGCGGCUCACUGGUCCGGUACUGACGCUGAGGUGCGAAAGCGUGGGGAGCAAACAGG
rnacentral:rRNA from 1 species